rnacentral:rRNA from 1 species
UACAGAGGGUGCGAGCGUUAAUCGGAUUUACUGGGCGUAAAGGGUGCGUAGGCGGUUAUAAGAGUGUGAUGUGAAAGCCCCGGGCUUAACCUGGGAAGUGCAUCGCAAACGAUAUAACUGGAGUAGUUGAGAGGGUGAUGGAAUUUCCGGUGUAGCGGUGAAAAUGCGUAGAGAUCGGAAGGAACGUCAAUGGCGAAGGCAGUCACCUGGCAACAUACUGACGCUGAGGCACGAAAGCGUGGGUAGCGAACAGG